rnacentral:rRNA from 1 species
AUCUUCGACAAUGGGCGAAAGCCUGAUGGAGCAACGCCGCGUGAGUGAAGAAGGAUUNNNGUUCGNACAACUCUGUCGUAAGGNAAGNACAAGUACAGUAGUAACUGGCUGUACCUUGACGGUACCUUAUUAGAAAGCCACGGCUAACUACGUUCCAGCAGCCGCGGUAAUACGUAGGUGGCAAGCGUUGUCCGGAAUUAUUGGGCGUAAAGCGCGCGCAGGUGGUUUCUUAAGUCUGAUGUGAAAGCCCACGGCUCAACCGUGGAGGGUCAUUGGAAACUGGGAGACUUGAGUGCAGAAGAGGAUAGUGGAAUUCCAAGUGUAGCGGUGAAAUGCGUAGAGAUUUGGAGGAACACCAGUGGCGAAGGCGACUAUCUGGUCUGUAACUGACACUGAGGCGCGAAAGCGUGGGUAGCAAACAGG